UUAAUACAAUGCUAAUGAAAUUAAAUAAAAAAAUUGGAAAGAGGAAUUAGGGUAAGGUUUGUGACGCAUCAGAUUCCCUCUUAAGGACUCAUCUCUCUCUCUCGCGCGAAAGCACAGACGGCGGCCGGAAUCGUCGUCCCGUCUCCGAUUGCUCACUCUGCGUCACUCUCGAUCACUCUCUGAAUCAAGUUAUCCCCACUUCAAUCUCUCUCAAUCUCGAAUCCGCUCUCAAACUUUCUCUGCUUUCGAUCUCAAAUCUGCUUCAACUCCGAUUUGAUAUACCGGAGAAUGUUUGACGCCUUUUCCAUGGUACCGACGAGGAGAAAACUCCACCGUUAAAGACAGGUGAUUGGAGAAUCAGAGGAAGCUGUGUGAUGGUUGAAUCGUGAGAGGAGAUUGAAGAAUGAAGGUUAUUGAUGACAAAUGCGAUGCGGUUCUUGCGAUGAUUCGUAGAUAAAGGUUGUGAAGCUGCAAUUGUUGUUCUGAGAUGUAAAAUUCGUUAGAGUCUCGAAGAUUAUUACGUGAAGGUGUGAUUGAAUGAAGAAUCGAUGGAGAGUUCUGUUAUUCUCUUUUCUCCUUCCCGAUUUUCUCUCUGUUACCUCCCCUUUUUCUGUUUUCCAAUUCUAUUAUACUGAGUUCUCCCCUCUCUUUGUUGUGUCGAAUCUCUUUUGUUAUUGAAUUUUGUUCCGAUCAUUUCUUUCUGAUUUUUCGGUUAUGAACUCUUUUCUUCCGCCAAUUUUUGCAGGUGGUGAUGAAUGAAUGAUUGGUUAUGGUUCUUGCUACCGGUUCCCUUUGUUGUGCCGGCUUUUGUUUAUUUCUUCUUCUCUUCUUUUGUGAAUUCUGUCUUGGUUUGAACCAGUUUCAAAUUAUCGAGUUGGCUUGAACUUAUAUGCAUGAAGAGUAUUUGAACCGGUACAAUUUCCCAUUUUGCAGGUUGAGCACAUGGUUUUGGAAACAAAGAGUUCAUAUGGUAUGAAAGAACUUAGCCAAGAAGAAUUGAUCCAAUAUUCUGAGCAUUAUUUAUAGAAUUUAAGAGAAAUAUCUUUUCAAAAAGUUAGGACCUAGUGUUGAAUGAUUGAAUUUGAAUUAUUGAUGUAAUGAUGGACUAUUGGUGGAUGUAAAUUGUAAUGAAUAUGAUUUUGAACAUUCUUGAUU